AUACCUUUCUCGGCCUUUUGGCUAAGAUCAAGUGUAGUAUCUGUUCUUAUCAGUUUAAUAUCUGAUAUGUGGGCCAUUGGCUCACACGAUAUUAAAUUUAUUUUUUAAGGGGGAGGGUCCACCACAAUAGCUUGCUAUUGGGCUCUCAUGCGUCGCCCAUGCCUUACACUAUCGCAAGGGCUGGGCGCACCCCAC